GUGGGGAAGGUGGUUACCCUUCCUCCUACGGAUCAGAAGGUUAGGGGUUCGAGUCCCUUCGGGC
rnacentral:tRNA from 1 species